GGUCUGAUCGUAUAACGGUUAGUACACAAGAUUCUGAUUCUCACUCCUCGUCUCUCAACACGAGCUGCGGUGUCGUUCUUGUAAUCUGGGUUCGAUUCCCAGUCGGACCU
rfam:Trichosporon asahii var. asahii CBS 8904 unplaced genomic scaffold scaffold00033, whole genome shotgun sequence.